rnacentral:tRNA from 1 species
GGAAGGAUGGCAGAGUGGUCGAAUGCGCUGGUCUCGAAAACCGGUAAACGGGUAACUGUUUCGGGGGUUCGAAUCCCCCUUCUUCCA